CUACGCACUCCUACGGGAGGCAGCAGUGGGGGAAUAUUGCACAAUGGGCGCAAGCCUGAUGCAGCCAUGCCGCGUGUAUGAAGAAGGCCUUCGGGUUGUAAAGUACUUUCAGCAGUGAGGAAGGUGGAUAUGUUAAUAGCAUAUUCAUUUGACGUUAGCUGCAGAAGAAGCACCGGCUAACUCCGUGCCAGCAGCCGCGGUAAUACGGAGGGUGCGAGCGUUAAUCGGAAUUACUGGGCGUAAAGCGCAUGCAGGUGGUUUGUUAAGUCAGAUGUGAAAGCCCGGGGCUCAACCUCGGAAUUGCAUUUGAAACUGGCAAACUAGAGUACUGUAGAGGGGGUAGAAUUUCAGGUGUAGCGGUGAAAUGCGUAGAGAUCUGAAGGAAUACCGGUGGCGAAGGCGGCCCCCUGGACAGAUACUGACACUCAGAUGCGAAAGCGUGGGGAGCAAACAGGAUUAGAUACCCUGGUAG
rnacentral:rRNA from 1 species